GACGAACGCUGGCGGCGUGCUUAACACAUGCAAGUCGAACGGAAAGGCCCUGCCUUUGUGGGGUGCUCGAGUGGCGAACGGGUGAGUAACACGUGAGUAACCUGCCCUUGACUUUGGGAUAACUUCAGGAAACUGGGGCUAAUACCGGAUAGGAGCUCCUGCUGCAUGGUGGGGGUUGGAAAGUUUCGGCGGUUGGGGAUGGACUCGCGGCUUAUCAGCUUGUUGGUGGGGUAGUGGCUUACCAAGGCUUUGACGGGUAGCCGGCCUGAGAGGGUGACCGGACACAUUGGGACUGAGAUACGGCACAGACUCCUACGGGAGGCAGCAGUGGGGAAUAUUGCACGAUGGGCGGAAGCCUGAUGCAGCAACGCCGCGUGCGGGAUGACGGCCUUCGGGUUGUAAACCGCUUUCGCCUGUGACGAAGCGUGAGUGACGGUAAUGGGUAAAGAAGCACCGGCUAACUACGUG
rnacentral:rRNA from 1 species